CUCUGUCUCUCUCUCUGUCUCUCUCUGUCUCUCUCUCUCUGUCUCUCUUUCUCUCUCUCUGUCUCUCGUUCACUCUCUCUGUCUUGCGCUUCCCCCCCUGCUGCGAUCUCCUAUGGAAGGCCUACUGUCUUCAAAAAUGCCAGGUCAGGGGACAACUUUAAGAAAGUGUGUGGUCUGCCACACAGAAAUCAAUGUCGCAUGCAAAACUUGCAAGGCAUGCAAAGCAAAGCAACCUCAAAAGCUAAGGCUAAAAAAAAAAUUAGAAAAAUUUGAUGAAAAGCGGGAGAGCUGGGUCCAUACCCACCAAAAAAAUCGGACCACCUCCCACAUCGUGGAUGAAGCUUCUAUGCUGCUUGAAAAAUUGCAGGCCCUGGGUGUAAGGGCUGUAAUAGUUUUGUCCAAGCCCGGAAGAAAAGAGAAUGUCUGGGUUUCAGAGGUUUUGGCACCCCGUUGUCAACUGACAGACACUUCUAAAAAGUGUCUUGAAAGAAUAAAGACACUCUAUGAACUUGUUAUUCAAGGCUGGACCCCACAAGUUGCUGCAGGACAUUCAUCAUCCCCAGUUGAACCCCAAACUACACCUCAACUGGCCACACCAACAACACAGGUUGCUGUUGCCCAGCCUCAUCCCCCUGCAGCUCCACCUACACCUCAACU